UGGGGAAUUUUGGACAAUGGGGGAAACCCUGAUCCAGCCAUCCCGCGUGUGCGAUGAAGGCCUUCGGGUUGUAAAGCACUUUUGGCAGGAAAGAAACGUCGCGGGUUAAUACCCCGCGGAACUGACGGUACCCGCAGAAUAAGCACCGGCUAACUACGUGCCAGCAGCCGCGGUAAUACGUAGGGUGCAAGCGUUAAUCGGAAUUACUGGGCGUAAAGCGUGCGCAGGCGGUUCGGAAAGAAAGAUGUGAAAUCCCAGAGCUUAACUUUGGAACUGCAUUUUUAACUACCGGGCUAGAGUGUGUCAGAGGGAGGUGGAAUUCCGCGUGUAGCAGUGAAAUGCGUAGAUAUGCGGAGGAACACCGAUGGCGAAGGCAGCCUCCUGGGAUAACACUGACGCUCAUGCACGAAAGCGUGGGGAGCAAACAGGAUUAGAUACCCUGGUAGUCCACGCCCUAAACGAUGUCAACUAGCUGUUGGGGUCUUCGGACCUUGGUAGCGCAGCUAACGCGUGAAGUUGACCGCCUGGGGAGUACGGUCGCAAGAUUAAAACUCAAAUGAA
rnacentral:rRNA from 1 species